CGUGCCAGGGCAGGGGGCGGCGAGUCCAAAGUACGAAACAACAACCACCGCCCGACCCGCAGGGGAAAGCGGAACGGGGUUCCAGAGAAGUGUGUUCGGAGGUCCAUGGUAAUGUUCCCUGCAGGAACUAUACCACAGAGAGGGGAAUCUGAAGAUUUCUCAGGUGUGAAGAAGGAGGGAUUUGGAAGAAGAGAAAGUUUGGUGCAAAGAAGAGGGGAAAAGUUCCAACCACAAAAAGUGGCAAGGAAGAAGAUGCGGAGACCAGAUGGAAAGUGAUGCAUAGGAGGAACACAGGCCAUGGAAAAGUGAGUUGGAGGAAGUGCAAGUAGAUGUGCAAGCAGGAGGAAGAUUGUUGAGGCAAAGAUGAAAAGUUUGAACAUGAAAUUGAUGUUGAGAAGCAAGUGAAGGAUUCACAGCUGGGACAACUUGCUAGAGCAGUGGAGAAGGAAUAUUACUCAAAAUGCUGCUGCUGAAACAGAACGGGGCAAAGUGAGAAACAGGACAGCCAGUUACAAACACUUUUAUGAAGGCUGGCACACAACAUGUCUGCACAGCCCUUCCAGAAGGCCACACUGCCAUGCUCUAACAUUCCUUUCAACUCUUUGUGGUUUUUCAGUUUUCCCCACACUCCUGGGUGGGAACACACACACACAAAGAUUUUCAAAAAGUAGUGCUUACAAUUAGACUCCUAAAUCUAUAUUUAGACACUUAAAUUGGCUUGAUUUUUUUUUAAUCACCCAGCAGUUCCUUUUGCAGAUUUGCAUGCCAGUAAGCUGAGAGGCAUGCCACAUGCUUUUUGGUUGAGCCCAUUUAUUGUUGGCUUUUGUUGCUUCUCUACCACAUUACCCACAGCCAAAAGGAGGUACAUGAUAUUCUUCUCUGUGCUACCGUACUGAUGUAUACAGAUGGUCUCAUAAGUUUUUUUUUUUUUUUUUUAACUACUGUUUACUUUUGAAAGAUCUCAUCCAGACUACUUUUUGCUGCUGGGCUUCAGCAAUCUUUGGAGGGCCCCUAUGGUAACAUAACAGCUGUAAACCCACACUGAAGCUGUGGUUGUACCAGGCCGCCCUCCUUUUUGUCUCAUUAGCUCAAAUGACAGGUCUGUGUGGUGGAGCUAUAGGCUGGUAACCCAUGUGGGUGUUAAUACAACUCCACCCAACAGAACUGUUUUUUAGGUUGUUUUUAUAAAAAAAAAUAGGAAAUUACACAUGAAAUACUAUGAUAAAAGAACAUUAAGAUUGUAAAUUCAAGCAGUUAAAAAUUGGGAAAUGCCAGAAUUAAGGUCACCCAUGUGAACUUAAUUCAGCACCUGUGUGCAUGUGAAUUAUGAUACUCUUUAAUUGCAUACUUUUUCCCUGCCUGAUCCCUGCCUCAUUCAGUGCACAGGAUGGAGCUGCUCUGGGGAUGAAGCAGGGCUGUAGGAUCCCUUCUUCCACUGCUGCAGAAAUUGGAAGGUGUGUAGAGAAUGAAGCAGAGGAUUACAAGAUGAGAAAGGACUGUCUCAUAGAAGCCAGGCCAGGUUCUGCUGGAACCCUGCCUACAAGGCAAGUUUCCUUUGGAACCCUGUCUGAUUUCCUAGCAGCUCAUCCAUCCAGCUCCUUGGCAAUCUGCCUGCCAGCCUGCUGGGGAGCCCAACCUUCUGUGGUCUGCAGCAGCCCACCAGGCAGAUUGUUCCAGAGUCAGGGACCACAGGGCUUCCAGGGUCUGUGGCUCUGGGCUAGUCCAUUAGGUGACCUGCCCUGGAACUGGGGCUCCAUUCCUUUUCUCUAGAAAUUUUCAAAAAUUGUUGGUCAUUCUGAACCUAAGCUAAACCAAACUUUGAAAUAUUGAAAUCCUUUGUAAAACGGAAUUCUCUUUCUCUGCUAGACUCAACUUCAAAGAUACAAAAGGGGAGUGUAUAGGGGUUCCACUCACCAUAGCUGCACCUCCUCGUGGCUGGGUCCGGGAAUUAGUUUUUGCCCAUCUGGUACGCCCAUCUGGUACUCCCUUCUGCCAGUUGUUCAUGCUGUACCUCCCUCCCCACUCCUCCGUGUGACUCAGGGUGCUCCCUUUUCAUGACUUGGCCCCCCAGCCAAGUCACUAUGUAGUCUCCUUCUGUUCCCCUUCCAGGAUAACAAAAUCCCACCCAAAAAGCUGUCCGUAUGCCAUCUCAGGCAGUCUUCUGUUUCAACUCCAGGUCCUAUGCUGAUAUGGGAACUUGGCUUCACCCUCUAUUCUGGGUCCCAGUCCAGGGACUCCGUGACUAGCAGCCUAGGUCUGCUCAGUCUCAGACCCCAUUGUUUGCCUGGGCUCUUUCCAACCCCACCUCUCUAUCUCUGUGUUUUCCUCUGGAACAUCCUCCUCUCCCUUUGGUCCAGACUCCCCAGGGCUUCCUAUUCCCCUAGAUUGUCUCCUUCGUGCUGGCCAAUUCCCUUUCCUUCUAGGGAGUGACUGCAAAACUCCUCUCUACAGCCCCUUCCUGCUCUUGCUUUCUAGCUUUAUUACCUGCCCCCAAGGUGGGCUUCAUCUGCCAUUAGUACUUAUCAAGCCCUGGCUUUCCUCCAGAUGCAGCAUAUGAGGUUAAUUCAACCUAUCUGUCCCACAUUAAUAUACUCAGGGCUUGUGUGGGGGUGGCCACCCCAUCACAGGAAGAGCAGAAGCCUAGAGAUUGGGCAUAUUUCUCCUUUUUAUUUACAAUGGAAUUGUAUCAGUAUAACAGAGUAUAAUUGGGGCCAUUAGUGUUCCCUUAGAAAAGAUUUUAAGACAGUGAGAAGUAUCUGUCAGAGAUGGAAUUAUUUUGACUUAAUCAUUUAUUUUUAAAGAUGGGUCCCAGGAUACGCAACUGGAUUGUUAAAGGGGAUAAGCUGAUAUGUUUUUAUUUAACAUGAAAUUACUGAAAAUCCUUCUUUUAAAAAAGACUCAAAGACAAAGUUAUUGCUUCACACAUUAGUAGAUCAAUAUAUCAGACUUUUGGCACAGCUUUUGAAGAUAACUGGCAUUCUCUACUUUUUUUGUAAAAAUUAGUUACAAAUCAAAGCUGUAUAUAUGUGCUUCCUUACUAUUUCUUAUGUAGUAUGUUAUUGACAAGAAUAAGGAAAGUAUUCUUUAAAAAUCACUAGACAGACACUAAGUAUACUUAUUAAAAUAGGAAUAUAUAUUUUAAAAAGUAGGGUCAUUAUCUCCCCUUCUUACAUAAGUAGUACUCGACUUCUCUUCAAAACUUGGUUCUAGAGGAAUUCCUGUUGCAGUGCAUUUCUCCCUUGGAAGCUGAGGGCUGUUGACAGUGCAGCCCAGGCUGGGGAGUGAGGCCAUUCAACCACACAUAAACCUGAUGUCCAUGGGAACAACCUGGCCUGACCUAUGUGGAAUUGGUUUCUGCAGGGCUCACACACCAGCACUGACAGCUGUGAUUUUGCUAUUAGCCCCCAACAGUGCUCAUGCAACCCCUUGAAACUUAUGUGGCCCCACCAUAGUAUGAAAGCUCCUCCCAAAUAUUUAAAAAUAGAGUAAUUAUUUCUCACUUUCUCUUCCUUCCCAGUCUGGAGGAAAAAUUAAUUAGUUUGUAUGUGUAUAGAGUGGAAGAGACGUUCAGUGAAGAUUAAGUCAAGCCUUUUUCUUUCUGGCUUGUGUUCAUACAUUAUCCCCAGUAAUGAUGACUCUUCAGGCCAAAUGCUGCGUGCACUUGCACCAGUGCCACCUUAUUGCCUUCCAGUUGUUUACAGAUGUAUAACGGAGGGUACAAUUUGAAAAUAAUGGGUUCACACAGAUGUCCUGUAAUUGGAAUUCAACGAUUCCAUUCAUGUUGCACAAACCAGAAUAUAAUCCAGUUUCUUCUCCCACAGCUGUGAUGGCUCAGCCGGGAAGACAUUUAAUGAACUCUUCCUUUUUUCACUGAAGUACACAGGGAAUAGAUUUGCCGAGUAAGAAGGUGCUAUUUUUACACAGUCCCUUUUCAAAUGAGACCUGCACUUUAAACACAUUGAGCAAUCUGAACUAAGCAGCCUGUCAAACAUCACUCCUAAGGCUGCACAACAGUGCAUGCAAGAAACUGUGCUUUAGGUCAGUUAAAUAAUUUAAAAGCUUCCCCCUUAUCCAUUUUGCUUUGGGCUAGCUGCAACAUUUACUGGGAGCUGAGAACAUUUCUUCAUAUUUCUCAGGCUAGCCAUGCAGAAAGCAUUUAGUUUGUUAGGUUUUACCAGUGUUUGGCAAUAUGCUUCUCUCUUUUUGCAUACAUGCAGUGUAGGGAUUGUUGCAAAAAUCUAGAAUUAUCUGCAUACUGAUGGAAAUAUUCCUUCUGUGUUUUUAAAUCUCUCAUAUCCAGCCCUAUUAUUAUAGUAACUCAACACCUCAUAAUCUUUAGUACAUUUUCCCUCCAACACCCCUGAGAAGUAGGGGAGGUCUGUUUUCCUUAGCUCAUUCCCCCAUAUAUUUAAGCCUGUAGUGGAUCAGGGAACCUGUAGUGGACCCUUGGACCAGCCUUCCUCUCCUGAACACAAAAAGAUGUUGCAGGGUGCUGUUAGUGUACUUGUGUGUGACUAAAGGUUAGAACUCUCAGUAACUCCUCUUACAGCCUUUAUCUUUCAGUCAGCGUAACAAAGUUUUAAAAGUCUAUUAAUAUUUUUUGUUUACAAUUUCAAAGAGUUGUG